ensembl:lncRNA
CUAUUUUCAAUCUCUUUUUAAACACAAACCACUGCGCUGCAGGUUGAAUAUCUGUGCAGGGAACAGAGUGUAUCUGAAUGUUUUGUUGUUUUAGUGGAGGCCCUGCAGGAGAGCUCUAGGUCAGGUAAUUUUAGCUCUGGCUGAGGAGACCCAGUCCACUGCUUUCUUCUUCUUCAAAUCAGAUUUUGCUCUUCUGGAACAGAGGUUUCUUCAGAACCUGCAGCGCUGUAAUGAGGGAGAUGCUAAAGCCAAGUGGCAUCCACUGGCAGGUGGAGAGACAGACAUGGUGGAACCACAGGCGGAUGGUGAACCAGCUGCAGGGUAAAGCUAUGAAGUCUACGAGGUGUGCAGGCGAUUCUGCAAGGGAUGUGAUUGAAGAAGAAGAAUUCCCAGGAAGCACAGGAGGAGGAAACAUUACAGCAAACCUCAUGAGUUCUCAAACAAUGAAAAUAAACUUUAAGACUAUAAACAGAGAAGCCCUGCAGAAAGAAUAGAGACAGCCUUUUUUUUUUUUUUUUGACACUUCAUUGACUUCUUUUAGGUGUUUAAAUGUGAACUCGGGAAGCACUAAAAUUGGCCUCACAGAAAAAGGUGAGUCAUGUUUUUUUGUGUGUGCACGCAUGUGUUUAUUUGGCAAAAACAAUGUUGUUUUAAGGAUGGAUAUUAGAGAUAAAUGUAUAUUAGGGAGGCAUAGAUGAGAGACUGUUUCUGUUUGAGUAGGUUUUUUUUUUUUUUUUUUUUGCUCAGUAAGUUGCUAAGCCUUUUCCUUUAGAGAUGGCAUGUAUGUCUCUCUCUCUCUCUCUCUCUCUGUGUGUGUGUGUGUUUAGAGUAGAAGGUGUGUGUCCUCCCUGACCCCUCCUGCAUCUUUACCGCCACCCAUCUGUUUACUGACUCAUGAAAAAUUCAUGAGUAUGUGUUUGGGAGCAGUGGAAUAAUUUUCAAUAUUUAGCCAGGCUAUGAAUACAGAUGAUGUUGAACUUUGGUGUAUUGCGGCGGCGUACGUGAAGGUGCGUGUAGCUGGUGUCGUGGCAGGCUGAGGUCAGUGGGCUUAAUGAGGGAGUGAAGAAGCCGCGGAUCCACACACGUGUGCUGAGUGAGACGUGUCACCUGUAGGAGACCCGUGACUGGACAGGAGGGGUGGGACAGACUAGAUCCAAAGCCAACUGCAACUAAUAUAUCAGCAGCUGUCAAUCAAACACACUCAAUAAAAGUAACCAUAUGCAAUUCA